AGCGAACGCUGGCGGCAGGCCUAACACAUGCAAGUCGAACGAAGUCUUCGGACUUAGUGGCGGACGGGUGAGUAACACGUGGGAACGUGCCUUUUGGUUCGGAACAACUCAGGGAAACUUGAGCUAAUACCGGAUGAGCCCUUAGGGGGAAAGAUUUAUCGCCGAAAGAGCGGCCCGCGUUAGAUUAGCUAGUUGGUGAGGUAAAGGCUCACCAAGGCUACGAUCUAUAGCUGGUCUGAGAGGAUGAUCAGCCACACUGGGACUGAGACACGGCCCAGACUCCUACGGGAGGCAGCAGUGGGGAAUCUUGCGCUAUGGGCGAAAGCCUGACGCAGCCAUGCCGCGUGAAUGAUGAAGGUCUUAGGAUUGUAAAAUUCUUUUACCAGGGACGAUAAUGACGGUACCUGGAGAAAAAGCCCCGGCUAACUUCGUGCCAGCCGCCGCGGUAAGAC
rnacentral:rRNA from 1 species